rnacentral:rRNA from 1 species
UGCGUAGGGGGCAAGCGUUGUCCGGAUUUAUUGGGCGUAAAGAGCGUGUAGGCGGCCAUACAGGUCAGCUGUGAAAACUCGAGGCUCAACCUCGAGACGUCGGUUGAAACCGUAUGGCUAGAGUCCGGAAGAGGAGAGUGGAAUUCCCGGUGUAGCGGUGAAAUGCGCAGAUAUCAGGAGGAACACCGGUGGCGAAGGCGGGUCUCUGGGCCGAUACUGACGCUGAGGAGCGAAAGCGUGGGGAGCGAACAGG